GGAGGAAAAAGUACACAAUGCUUUCAAAGUGGUUUUAAUGUGACGUCAAGGGGCUGCAUCACAUGGUGGAGUGAAUUCCUGAUGUAGAUCGGGAAGGAACAGAUCAAAGCCGGAUGACAGCCAAUCAAUCAACCGUCAAAUCAGACAUGGCAACUGUCGAUUAUAGCUUCUUCCAGUCCACAUAAUCCCUUUGUCUGUACCCAAUUGUUUAUUUUAUCAAAAAAAAGAGAGGUCAUUCUUCAACCUCCCAAUUCCAAAGUUAGCCGCUUGGCUCAAAUGUUCACAAAGACCAUACUACAGAGACAGUAGGCUCUGGCACCGCCUUGGGAUUCCGUUAUAGCAGACUGAACACCGUUUCCCCAUAUUCUAAUUCGUCCACCACGAAUUCCCACCAUAAAUCCAGAGAAUGCCAGACUUUGAUGACAAAGUUUGAUGACAAUAUUUGCCCACAAAGGACCGCUGCGCCACCUUCACAAGGCGGCUGCCCACAGGAAGUGAUGCAGUCCGGAGGCAUGGUGGAGCCUUGUGUCAGAGAGCUUAUGGCUGAAGUGUUUGGUGAGGGAGCACCUGGAUAAUGGAGUUUUUUUCUGUAGUGACUAAGUCUGAGAUGCUGCAUGCUGUACUGCAUCGGUUCCUGUGCCCUUUUUUUGCUAACAUGGUCUUUAGUGUAAAAAGAAAGAUAAAUGAUGUUGAUGGUCAACUAUAUUUUCAGAGUAACUUUCCCAACACUGGUUUUAUGUAAGAUGGCUGUGUGUGUGUGUGUGUGUGUGUGUGUGUGUGUGUGUGUGUGUGUGUGUGUGUGUGUGUGUGUGUGUGUGUGUGUGUGUGUGUGUGUGUGUGUGUGUGUGUGUGUGUGUGUGUGUGUGUGUGUGUGUGUGUGUGUGUGUGUGUGACAGGUUCUGUGUCUGGGUUGAGCAGGCAGAUUGAAGCAGAGGUAGACAAAGGCACAGUUGUCAACAUUUAUUUUCUAUUAUUGGUUUUCUGUUUUUCCGUUUAAACACACUCCAGUUUUUAAUUUCCGUUCAAUUGCUUGGUUUCCAAGUUACCAAUUGGUUCACACUGGAAGAAGUUAAGCUACACUAAGUUACACUUAAGAAAUAAAUAGUUUACCUAAAUAAAGUUACUUUGAAAAAGUAGUUCGCUUCAUCCAAACGACAUUGUGAAAAAUGAUCAUAUGUAAAUCUGAAAUGUCAUGAACUCACUUUGGGGUCAUAAUGUUAACAGAAUGACUAGUGGAGCUACAUGUAGUAUACUACCACUCCACCACUGCAUCAAACACAAAGCUGCAUCUUUACUCACUCCACCAUCAAUCCACUUUUCAUUCUGCCUGUCUAUUCAUAUUCAUUUCUGAUCAGUGAUGGUGGCUUAUUUCACUAUGAUGGAAUGGUAGCUUCAAGCAACUGUGUUUGUUUCAGACAAUUUCUUAGGCCAGGAUUCAAUCCGAUCUACCCUUUUCGGCUAUGCAGCUUUUACAGGCAAUG